GUCCAGACUCCUACGGGAGGCAGCAGUGGGGAAUAUUGCACAAUGGGGGAAACCCUGAUGCAGCGACGCCGCGUGAGUGAAGAAGUCAUUCGUUAUGUAAAACUCUAUCAGCAGGGAAGAAAAUGACGGUACCUGAGUAAGAAGCCCCGGCUAACUACGUGCCAGCAGCCGCGGUAAUACGUAGGGGGCAAGCGUUAUCCGGAUUUACUGGGUGUAAAGGGAGCGUAGACGGCAGUGCAAGUCUGAAGUGAAAGGCGGGGGCCCAACCCCCGGACUGCUUUGGAAACUGUAUGGCUGGAGUGCAGGAGAGGUAAGUGGAAUUCCUAGUGUAGCGGUGAAAUGCGUAGAUAUUAGGAAGAACACCAGUGGCGAAGGCGGCUUUCUGGACUGAAACUGACGCUGAGGCACGAAAGCGUGGGGAGCGAACAGGAUUAGAUACCCUAGUA
rnacentral:rRNA from 1 species